rnacentral:rRNA from 1 species
GUGAACGCUUGCGGUAGGCCUAACCCCUGCCAGUCGCACGGCAGCACAGUAAGAGCUUGCUCUUACGGGUGGCGAGUGGCGGACGGGUGAGGAAUACAUCGGAAUCUACUUUUUCGUGGGGGAUAACGUAGGGAAACUUACGCUAAUACCGCAUACGACCUACGGGUGAAAGCAGGGGAUCUUCGGACCUUGCGCGAUUGAAUGAGCCGAUGUCGGAUUAGCUAGUUGGCGGGGUAAAGGCCCACCAAGGCGACGAUCCGUAGCUGGUCUGAGAGGAUGAUCAGCCACACUGGAACUGAGACACGGUCCAGACUCCUACGGGAGGCAGCAGUGGGGAAUAUUGGACAAUGGGCGCAAGCCUGAUCCAGCCAUACCGCGUGGGUGAAGAAGGCCCUCGGGUUGUAAAGCCCUUUUGUUGGGAAAGAAAAGCAGCAGGUUAAUACCCCGCUGUUCUGACGGUACCCAAAGAAUAAGCACCGGCUAACUUCGUG